GAAUGAAGAACGCAGUGAAAUGCGAUAACUAAUGUGAAUUGCAGAAUUCAGUGAAUCAUCGAGUCUUUGAACGCACAUUGCGCCCCCUGGUAUUCCGGGGGGCAUGCCUGUCCGAGCGUCAUUGCUGCCCUCAAGCACGGCUUGUGUGUUGGGCUCCGUCCCCCCGGGGACGGGCCCGAAAGGCAGCGGCGGCACCGAGUCCGGUCCUCGAGCGUAUGGGGCUUUGUCACCCGCUCUGUAGGCCCGGCCGGCGCCAGCCGACAACCCAUCAUCCUUUUCAGGUUGACCUCGGAUCAGGUAGGGAUACCCGCUGAACUUAAGCAUAUCAAUAAGCGGAGGA
rnacentral:misc_RNA from 1 species